CUGAAGGAGAGAACCAGGGUCACGCCCAAAGCCCCUGCUGUGUCUCCAGAGGCGGAGCCCAGCCCUCUGGCCACGCCCCCGUCUCUCAGCACCAAAAGCCUGCAGCCCAGCCGACCAGCCUCCAGCGGUUCUGGUCCGGACUGGGGCGCGUCGUCGCCUCUGGGCUCCGUCAGCACGAUGUCAGCAGCAGAGAGCGAGCCGCUCGGCCUGUAGGGGGCAGCGCUGUGCUAUUAUUUUCAUAUCAGCUCAGGAAUAAAGCUCACUGAACACUUCUUCCAGAAUUCACCCCCAGCAGAACCUGAUGGGUCCAGGAGGUUCUGUUACUUAUUACAUAUUAAUCCAUGGUGGUUCUGUGGCUGCAGGUUGGUGACCCAGCCGUUGGAUCACCAGGGAAAGUUCACGGCUGCAAGCAGCUUUCUGUUGCCAGAAACACCAGGCGGCAAACUGAAAGGGUUUGACUGUGGAAGCCCAGUGCAUUCCGGUUCCACUCUGGUUCCACUCCGGUCCAUGUCUGAACACAGAUCAGAUGUUUUAACACUUGCAUUUACGAUUCGUAUCUGUGAUUUCUAAAUGUGACCCAUGUGACAUGCGUCGGCGUUCUGCGUGCUGAAAUGGGACGAUGAGGUUUUAUGUUGUUAAUGUUCCAACUCUGGUUGGACAACUUCAAAAUCUCACAAUAUGCUCCACUGUUAGCAUCCACAUUUACUGAGCUCUUCUUUUUCUUUGUGGUGUUUGGCAAAGUACUGAGCACACUCUCUAUGUGUGAUGUCAUGGCGCCCUCUACUGGGCAUGCGGUCAGUUUCUCAGGCGAUCACAAGUUGCAUCUAUUUGGAAAUAUGAGCGACAAAGCAAAAAAAUUGGAUGUGUGUUCCUUCAGGCUGAAGUGUGAACGUGGCCUAAAUUUCUCAUUUUUUCAUACAGAGAAGCUGAAAUCUUUUAUUUGGUGAUAAAUGAUUUUGAACUGCUGUUCAGAAUCAGGUCUGGGAUCUCGCACCAAAGCGGCGUACGCACAGAAAGUGUGCAGCAAGUUGGUAUGUAUGAAAAUGAACGUGGUGUGAAAGUUUGCAUAAAUAUAUACAAACUUUUGACCUGCCAUGAAAAUGUGCUGCAGCCUCGCAAACUUUUUUUAUGGACAAUAAGAAACUAGAUGGCGGCAAAAUUUGCCUAAACACAUUGAAACACGACUACAGAGUUUAUCAUGACUCUAAUAUUUUAUUGUUUAAACGAUGAAACUGAACCGAUUUCUCCUCAGACAAUAAGCCAACACAAAAUAAAUAACAUAAAGAUGUGUAACAUCACAACAUGUAAAUAAGAAUUGAGCUCAGUUUGUCUCAUAAAGACAAAACGAUUCGUCUGAAUGAAUCUAUGGCUCAUUUAUUCUCACUGCAGAGAAAACAGGGCUGAUCAAUAGGUUUGAUUACUGCAGGUGAUCAAUAGGUUUGAUUACUGAAGGUGAUCAAUAGGUUUGAUUACUGAAGGUGAUCAAUAGGUUUGAUUACUGAAGGUGAUCAAUAGGUUUGAUUACUGAAGGUGAUCAAUAGGUUUGAUUAUUGGAGGUGAUCAGGUGUGUAUAAUCUCAGGUAUAUCAAUAGCUGCCAUCUUAGAAACUCCGCUCCUUCAUUUUGGCUACAAAAAACGUCAAGCUGCCAAAUAGAAAAAUAACUGACCAAUAAGAUUUAAGCUUUGGCCUGCCCUUUGACCCCCACAGACUCAGAUGUGCGCUAUGUACAAGAUGGUUUGAUACAGAAAAGCUUUUUUUUCUCAACAAUUUUGUUCAUAGUAAACAGGGUUUGAUAAUAAA